rnacentral:sRNA from 1 species
CUAGAUAUAGUGCCAUGACUUCCAUAGAGAAGGUCGACGCUCUAGCAAAAUGGCAGAACAAAUGGAAUAUAUUUAUUGCUGACGUCAUCUCCAUCUAUAAAUUAAGUUCUGUUGAUGAAAUAAUUGGCUGAAACAAGUUUUUCAAGGUCAAGCUAGCGCAAAAAAAAAAAAAACACAAUAAAACAAGACUUAAAUAAA